CCGGUACAGAGUCAAUGUGGAGGCUAUUUACAGGGUGUUACGGUACAGAGUCAAUGUGGAGGCUAUAUACAGGGUGUUACGGUACAGAGUCAAUGUGGAGGCUAUAUACAGGGUGUUACGGUACAGAGUCAAUGUGGAGGCUAUAUACAGGGUGUUACGGUACAGAGUCAAUGUGGAGGCUAUUUACAGGGUGUUACGGUACAGAGUCAAUGUGGAGGCUAUAUACAGGGGUACCAGUACAGAGUCAAUGUGGAGGCUAUAUACAGGGUGUUAUGGUACAGAGUCAAUGUGGAGGCUAUAUACAGGGGUACCAGUACAGAGUCAAUGUGGAGGCUAUAUACAGGGUGUUAUGGUACAGAGUCAAUGUGGAGGCUAUAUACAGGGGAUACCGGUACAGAGUCAAUGUGGAGGUUAUAUACAGGGGAUACCGGUACAGAGUCAAUGUGGAGGCUAUAUACAGUGGGUACCGGUACAGAGUCAAUGUGGAGGCUAUAUACAGGGGGUACCGGUACAUAGUCAAUGUGGAGGCUAUAUACAGGGGGUACCGGUACAGAGUCAAUGUGGAGGCUAUAUACAGGGGAUACCUGUACAGAGUCAAUGUGGAGGCUAUAUACAGGGGGUACCAGUACAGAGUCAAUGUGGAGGCUAUAUACAGGGGGUACCGGUACAGAGUCAAUGUGGAGGCUAUAUACAGGGGAUACCAGUACAGAGUCAAUGUGGAGGCUAUAUACAGGGGAUACCGGUACAGAGUCAAUGUGGAGGCUAUAUACAGGGUAUUACGGUACAGAGUCAAUGUGGAGGCUAUAUACAGGGGUACUGGUACAGAGUCAAUGUGGAGGCUAUAUACAGGGGGUACCGGUACAGAGUCAAUGUGGAGGCUAUAUACAGGGAUACCGGUACAGAGUCAAUGUGGAGGCUAUAUACAGGGUGUUACGGUACAGAGUCAAUGUGGAGGCUAUAUACAGGGGGGUACUGGUACAGAGUCAAUGUGGAGGCUAUAUACAGGGGGUACCGGUACAGAGUCAAUGUGGAGGCUAUAUACAGGGGGUACCGGUGUCAAGGUAAUUGAGGUAAUAUGUAUAUGUGGGUAGAGUUAUUAAAGUGACAAUGCAUAGAUAAUAACAGGGAGUAGCAGGAGUAUGGGGG
ensembl:lncRNA